CUACGGGUGGCACCAGUGAGGAAUUUUGCGCAAUGGGCGAAAGCCUGACGCAGCAACGCCGCGUGAGUGAUGAAGGCCUUCGGGUCGUAAAGCUCUGUCAAGUGGGAAGAACCUAUGUAAUGUUAAUAUCAUUAUAUACUGACGGUACCACUGAAGGAAGCACCGGCUAACUCCGUGCCAGCAGCCGCGGUAAUACGGGGGGUGCAAGCGUUAUUCGGAAUCAUUGGGCGUAAAGGGCACGUAGGCGGCCUGGUAAGUCAGAUGUGAAAGCCCGGGGCUUAACCCCGGAAGUGCAUUUGAUACUGUCAGGCUUGAGUAUGGGAGAGGGAAGUGGAAUUCCUGGUGUAGAGGUGAAAUUCGUAGAUAUCAGGAGGAACACCGGUGGCGAAGGCGACUUCCUGGACCAAUACUGACGCUGAGGUGCGAAGGCGUGGGUAGCAAACAGGAUUAGAUACCCGCGUAGUC
rnacentral:rRNA from 1 species